GAGAGGGAUGGGGAUGGAGGAGAUGGGGAGAAGGGAUGGAGAUGGGGAUGGAAAGGGAUGGAUGGGGAUGGAAAGAGAUGGAGAAGGAGAUGGGAAGAAGAGAUGGGAAGGGAUGGCGAUGGGAAGGGAUGGGGAUGGAUGGAAAGGGAUGGAGAUGAAUGGAGAGAGAGAGAUGGGGAUGGGAAGGGAUGAAACGGGAUGGAAGGAGAUGGGGAUGGGGAUGGGAAGGGAUGGAGAAGGAGAUGGGGAUGGAGAUGGAGAUGGGAAGAGAUGGAGGUGGGGAUGGAGAGAGAUGAGAAGAAGGGACGGAGGUGGGGAUGGGAAGGGAUGGAGAUGGGAAGGGAUGAAACGGGAUGGAAGGAGAUGGGGAUGGGGAUGGAAAGGGAUGGAGAAGGAGAUGGGGAUGGAAAGGGAUGGAGAAAGGGAUAGAUAGAUAAUGAGAGAUAAGGAUAGAGGGAUAGAGAGAGAUGGGGAGAGGGAUGGAGAGGUAAACAGAGACGAUGGAGGGAGGGAUGGAGAUACGGAGAGAGGGGGUGGGGGGACAGAAAUAGAGGGAUACGGGGAUGGAGGGAUGGAGGAGAGGAAGGAAGAGGGGAAGAGAGGGAUGGAGUGGAGAGAGGAGAAGAGGGGGAGAGAAGAAGAGGGGAAUGGGAAUGGACGGAGGGAGAGGAAGGGAGGAGAGGGGGUAAAGGGAGAGAGGGAUAGAAGAGAGGGGAGAGAAAUAGAGGGGUGGAGGAGAGAGGGAUGGAGGGACGGAGGAAUAGGAGAGAGGGAUGGAGGAGAACACAGGAAUAGAGGGACGGAGGAAGAGAGGAGAGAGGGAUAGGGGGGAGAGACGGAUAGAGGGAUAGAGAGAGUGGGAUGGAGGGGAGAGGGGAAGAAAGGGAUAGAAGAAGAGAGGAAGAUGGAGGACAGAGGGGAAUAGGGGAGAAUGGAGGGGAGAGGGAUGGAGAGGAAGAGAGGGGAAGAGGGGAAGGGAGAGAGGGAUGAGGGAGUAGAGAAGUAGAGGGACAGAGAGGAGAGAGGGAUAGAAAAAUAGGGGAGAGAGGAAUGGAGGAAUAAAGGAAUGGAGGAAUAGAGGGAUAGAAAAGAGUGGGGAAUGGAAGAAUAGGGGAAUAGAGAAGAGAGGAGAGGGAGGAAGAGAGGAAAGGGGGGAGAGAGGAGGAGAGGUAGGGAGGAAUGGGGGAACGGAGGAGAGAAAGGAAGAGGGGAGAGAGGGACAGAGGGAUACGGAGAUGGGGAUAAAAGGAUGGGGGAAGAGAGGAAUGGAGGAGGGGGCAAAAGGGGAAAAGGAAGAGAGGGAAAGGAAGAGAGGAGAGAUGGAGAGGGAGACAGGAAUGGAGAGACAUAGAGGGAUGGGGGAGCAGAGCAGAUAAAGGGAUGGAGGGCAGAGCGAUGGGGGGAUGGAGGAGAGAAAGGAAGAGGGGAAGAGAGCGAUACAGAGGGGUAGAGGGGGAGAGG
ensembl:lncRNA